rnacentral:guide_RNA from 1 species
GAUGACUACUAGAAUUCUACUCAAUGUGAAUGUUAAU